rnacentral:rRNA from 1 species
GGCCCUUUCGGGGGUACUCGAGUGGCGAACGGGUGAGUAACACGUGGGUGAUCUGCCCUGCACUUUGGGAUAAGCCUGGGAAACUGGGUCUAAUACCGGAUAUACCUCAUGGACUGCAUGGUUUGUGAGGGAAAGCUUUUGCGGUGUGGGAUGGGCCCGCGGCCUAUCAGCUUGUUGGUGGGGUGAUGGCCUACCAAGGCGACGACGGGUAGCCGGCCUGAGAGGGUGACCGGCCACACUGGGACUGAGAUACGGCCCAGACUCCUACGGGAGGCAGCAGUGGGGAAUAUUGCACAAUGGGCGCAAGCCUGAUGCAGCGACGCCGCGUGAGGGAUGACGGCCUUCGGGUUGUAAACCUCUUUCAGCAGGGACGAAGCGCAGGUGACGGUACCUGUAGAAGAAGGACCGGCCAACUACGUGCCAGCAGCCGCGGUAAUACGUAGGGUCCGAGCGUUGUCCGGAAUUACUGGGCGUAAAGAGCUCGUAGGUGGUUUGUCGCGUUGUUCGUGAAAACUCACAGCUCAACUGUGGGCGUGCGGGCGAUACGGGCAGACUUGAGUACUGCAGGGGAGACUGGAAUUCCUGGUGUAGCGGUGGAAUGCGCAGAUAUCAGGAGGAACACCGGUGGCGAAGGCGGGUCUCUGGGCAGUAACUGACGCUGAGGAGCGAAAGCGUGGGGAGCGAACAGGAUUAGAUACCCUGGUAGUCCACGCCGUAAACGGUGGGUACUAGGUGUGGGUUUCUUCCUUGGGAUCCGUGCCGUAGCUAACGCAUUAAGUACCCCGCCUGGGGAGUACGGCCGCAAGGCUAAAACUCAAAGAAAUUGACGGGGGCCCGCACAAGCGGCGGAGCAUGUGGAUUUAUUUCGAUGCAACGCGAAGAAUCUUACCUGGGUUUGACAUGCACAAGGACGCUGGUAGAGAUAUCAGCUUCUCUUGUGGGCCUGUG